GUAACAAGGUUUCCGUAGGUGAACCUGCGGAAGGAUCAUUACCGAGUGAGGGCCCUCUGGGUCCAACCUCCCACCCGUGUUUAUUUUACCUUGUUGCUUCGGCGGGCCCGCCUUAACUGGCCGCCGGGGGGCUUACGCCCCCGGGCCCGCGCCCGCCGAAGACACCCUCGAACUCUGUCUGAAGAUUGUAGUCUGAGUGAAAAUAUAAAUUAUUUAAAACUUUCAACAACGGAUCUCUUGGUUCCGGCAUCGAUGAAGAACGCAGCGAAAUGCGAUACGUAAUGUGAAUUGCAAAUUCAGUGAAUCAUCGAGUCUUUGAACGCACAUUGCGCCCCCUGGUAUUCCGGGGGGCAUGCCUGUCCGAGCGUCAUUUCUGCCCUCAAGCACGGCUUGUGUGUUGGGCCCCGUCCUCCGAUCCCGGGGGACGGGCCCGAAAGGCAGCGGCGGCACCGCGUCCGGUCCUCGAGCGUAUGGGGCUUUGUCACCCGCUCUGUAGGCCCGGCCGGCGCUUGCCGAUCAACCCAAAUUUUUAUCCAGGUUGACCUCGGAUCAGGUAGGGAUACCCGCUGAACUUAAGCAUAUCAAUAA
rnacentral:rRNA from 1 species